rnacentral:rRNA from 1 species
GGGGGAACCGGAAUUCUCGGUGUAGCAGUGAAAUGCGUAGAUAUCGAGAGGAACACUCGUGGCGAAGGCGGGUUCCUGGACAUUAACUGACGCUGAGGCACGAAGGCCAGGGGAGCGAAAGGGAUUAGAUACCCCUGUAGUCCUGGCAGUAAACGGUGCACGCUUGGUGUGCGGGGAAUCGACCCCCUGCGUGCCGGAGCUAACGCGUUAAGCGUGCCGCCUGGGGAGUACGGUCGCAAGAUUAAAACUCAAAGGAAUUGACGGGGACCCGCACAAGCGGUGGAGUAUGUGGUUUAAUUCGAUGCAACGCGAAGAACCUUACCUGGGCUUGACAUGUAAUGAACAACAUGUGAAAGCAUGCGACUCUUCGGAGGCGUUACACAGGUGCUGCAUGGCCGUCGUCAGCUCGUGUCGUGAGAUGUUUGGUUAAGUCCAGCAACGAGCGCAACCCCUGUUGCCAGUUACCAGCACGUAAAGGUGGGGACUCUGGCGAGACUGCCCAGAUCAACUGGGAGGAAGGUGGGGACGACGUCAGGUCAGUAUGGCCCUUAUGCCCAGGGCUGCACACGUACUACAAUGCCCAGUACAGAGGGGGCCGAAGCCGCGAGGCGGAGGAAAUCCUAAAAACUGGGCCCAGUUCGGACUGUAGGCUGCAACCCGCCUACACGAAGCCGGAAUCGCUAGUAAUGGCGCAUCAGCUACGGCGCCGUGAAUACGUUCCCGGGUCUUGUACACACCGCCCGUCACAUCAUGGAAGCCGGUCGCACCCGAAGUAUCUGAAGCCAACCGCAAGGAGGCAGGGUCCUAAGGUGAGACUGGUAACUGGGAUGAAGUCGUAACAAGGUAGCCGUAGGGGAACCUGCGGCUG